rnacentral:rRNA from 1 species
GGGCAUGUGCACACCCUGCUCAUCCCACUCUACACCUGUGCAUUUGCUGUAGGUUUGGCGUUGCCUUUGGGUGACCCUCUUUGGGGAGGGGCCAUCGAAGGCAUUCUGCCCUGCCUAUGUAAUACCUCUUCACAAACACGUGCAGUGACAGAAUGUGUUUGGGCUUAACGCAUGUAAAUACAACUUUCAGCAACGGAUCUCUUGGCUCUCGCAUCGAUGAAGAACGCAGCGAAAUGCGAUAAGUAAUGUGAAUUGCAGAAUUCAGUGAAUCAUCGAAUCUUUGAACGCACCUUGCGCUCCUCGGUACUCCGAGGAGCAUGCCUGUUUGAGUGUCAUGGACAUCUCAACCCACACACCUUUGUGAUGUUGUGGGCUUGGACUUGGAGGCUUGCUGGGGUUUCCACCGUGUGGCUCCAGCCCCUCCUGAAUGCAUUAGCUUGAUUCCGUGUGGACCGGCUCUCAGUGUGAUAAAUUGUCUGCGCUGUGACCGCGAAGCGCUCGGCAAGCUUACAACCGUCCCCUAUGGGGACAAACCUCUUUGACAUCUGACCUCAGAUCAGGUAG